rnacentral:tRNA from 1 species
AGUCUUAUAUUCAAUAAUGAUAAUAGAAUGCAAUUCUAUAGGAAUAAAAUAAUAAUAUUAUUAAGACUU